ACGAACGCUGGCGGCGUGCUUCAUACAUGCAAGUCGAACGAGAAACUGACUUCGGUCAGUGGAAAGUGGCGGACGGGUGAGUAAAAUGUAGAGAAUCUGCCCUAGAGAGUGGGACAACAGAGGGAAACUUCUGCUAAUACCGCAUAUGCGCGUAGCUGAAAUGCUAUUCGUGAAAACUCCGGUGCUCUGGGAUGAGUCUGCAUCUGAUUAGCUAGUUGGCGGUGUAAUGGACCACCAAGGCGACGAUCAGUAGCUGGUUUGAGAGGAUGAUCAGCCACAAUGGGACUGAGACACGGCCCAUACUCCUACGGGAGGCAGCAGUAGGGAAUUUUGCGCAAUGGGGGAAACCCUGACGCAAGCAACGCCGCGUGAUUGAAGAAGCCCUUCGGGGUGUAAAGAUCUGUCAGUGGGGACGAAACUUGACGGUACCCACAGAGGAAGCAUCGGCUAACUCCGUGCCAGCCGCUGC
rnacentral:rRNA from 1 species